rnacentral:misc_RNA from 1 species
GAUGAAGAACGCAGCGAAAUGCGAUACGUAAUGUGAAUUGCAGAAUUCAGUGAAUCAUCGAGUCUUUGAACGCACAUUUCGCCCCCUGGUAUUCCGGGGGGCAUGCCUGUCCGAGCGUCAUUGCUGCCCUCAAGCACGGCUUGUGUGUUGGGCCUCCGUCCUCCUCCCGGGGGACGGGCCCGAAAGGCAGCGGCGGCACCGCGUCCGGUCCUCGAGCGUAUGGGGCUUCGUCACCCGCUCUUGUAGGCCCGGCCGGCGCUUGCCGACACAUCAAUCUUUUUUCCAGGUUGACCUCGGAUCAGGUAGGGAUACCCGCUGAACUUAAGCAUAUCAAUAAGCGGAGGA